rnacentral:rRNA from 1 species
UACGUAGGGCGCGAGCGUUGUCCGGAUUUAUUGGGCGUAAAGCGCACGUAGGCGGCUUGGCAAGUCGGAUGUGAAAUCCCUCGGCUCAACCAAGGAAGUGCAUCCGAAACUGCUGAGCUUGAGUACUUAAGAGGAUCGCGGAAUUCCCGGUGUAGAGGUGAAAUUCGUAGAUAUCGGGAGGAACACCAGUGGCGAAGGCAGCGAUCUGGGAAGAUACUGACGCUGAGGUGCGAAAGCGUGGGGAGCAAACAGG